UACAGAGGUCUCAAGCGUUGUUCGGAUUCAUUGGGCGUAAAGGGUGCGUAGGUGGCGCUGUAAGUCAGGUGUGAAAUUUCGGAGCUCAACUUCGAAACUGCAUUUGAUACUGCGGUGCUUGAGGACUGGAGAGGAGACUGGAAUUUACGGUGUAGCAGCGAAAUGCGUAGAGAUCGUAAGGAAGACCAGUGGCGAAGGCGGGUCUCUGGACAGUUCCUGACACUGAGGCACGAAGGCCAGGGGAGCAAACGGG
rnacentral:rRNA from 1 species